GGGGUAAAAGUGCAGCAAACUAACUCAGAUUAAAUUAAUUCUAACCAUGGGAUAAAGGGAGCUACAAAUAGUUAUACACAAUACACAAAUAAUUGUUCCCUUCUCAUUGCCUAAGUCUCUGAAUGUAUAUGCAAUCUUUCAGUGAUAAAAUAAAUAAAUAUAUAUGAGCAACUGGCAACCUGGUUUGUGGAAUAAAUAAAUAUCUAUAACUACUUGGCAUCUUUUUAACUCACUGUAGUCCUGGAGAUGCUGCACAUAGCUAAACCUGAGCUUCCAUUUAGCAUACAGCACUGCCACUUCUUCCAGGGAGAUCAGCUCUGAUCUGUGCAGGUCCCGCCCACUCCCCUCCCGUUCCUCAGUCAGCUGAUCUCUCAGCCUGUGUGAGACUACGGGAGCUGCAAGUGAAACAAAGUUACUGCUUUCUAUUGCAAGGUAUUGCUAGAAUCGGUCUUUCAAAUCUCAAAGUUGAAAUGACAUUUACUGUGCUGGUUUGGGGAGGCUUAGCCUCCCCUAGCCUUCAUUAAAAUCCGCCCAUGAAGUGGAUGUUUGUCCCUUUUCCUUCUUUGAGCGGGACAAGGAGCGGCAGCUGCAGAAAGAGAAGCGAUUGGAUGAACUUCGCAAAGUGGAAGUCUAUAAAUUCAAGGCUCAGCCUCUGCCACCAUUCUAUCACAUCAGCCCCUUUAAGAAGAAGGUGAGGUUGCCAAGCCAGAAGGAGCGAUUUGAGCUGGAGACAUACAAUGUGGCGUCAAGUCCUACUUAACCAUCCCAACAUCCCCAAGCUUCUCAGGCAGAUUUAAGUGCUGAUGCAGCUGAUGUUCCUGUGUUACAGCCAAAUCGAAAUUUUCUGGUAGUUGAUGCCCUUUUCAAGCCCUGGACUAUACACAUCCUAAUGAACAAACAUAUGUCCGGUAAAUAGUAGCAUGAAUACAGAGGCAUGUUUUUGCCCUGGGGGGGUGUUAUGUAAAUACUAAAUAUUAAUGGUAGGGAUGCACCAAAUCCACUAUUUGGGAUUCUGCCCAAUGCCUGGUGAAAGAUUUGACAAAAUACCGAACCAAAUCCUAAUUUGCAUAUGCAAAUUAGAAUCAGGGAAGGAGAAAGAGGAAAACAGAUCAUCUUUUGUGACGAUUUCCCUACCCGUCCUUAAUUUAUAUAUGCAAAUUAGGAUUUGGGUUCGGCCAGGCACAAGGAUUCGGCCGAGUCCUGCUGAAAA